GCCGCCAGCACCGAGCCGUCCGUCUGUCACAGCUCAUUACAGUCAUUAGUGCGCGCCAGUUUAAGUUCAGGGACUAUUGUGUAAGAAGCUUUGUUUUUCACAGGUGAGAUUGCAAGCUCGCGUGGGCGCGCCGCUCGCCGCUCAGUUAGAGUUCGGCAACGCCGCUGCUCGCACGAACCUCUCCGUCGCAUAAAGCGCAACGAACGACUUCCAAAAUGGCCACCGGUCCGAAAAUAGUGCACAAGCAAUUCAAUUCGCCCAUCGGUCUCUACUCCCAGCAAAACAUCCAGGAAACGUUGAGCAAGCAUAUGCAGAAUCUCGACAAUGGCACCGUGGGUAUUAACUUCCAUAACCCGGGUACCGACAAACCGGCCAAUCUGGCCAACUCGGCCGUUCUGCGCAUGCUAGAGGAGGAAGAACGCAGCCGCAAAGGAUUACCUAAAUUAGACCCCACCCAAAUCCAGGCGAUUUUGGAGACCCUUGUCCGCACGCAACGAAGAUUUGACCAAAUGUGGCCGCCGAGAAAGACGAAACCGAAUCGUAAUUGGGACGGCCAAAUCAACUCCACAUCGUAUAUUUAUUCCGAUCUCAUGAAGGCUACUAAAGGUCAAAAGAAAGUAGUGUGGCCACCAACACCCGAAACCAACGGAUACCAUCAACCACAACAGCAGCCAGCAAACUACAACAACGCCCAGCACUCUCCGUCCCAACAACAAUACUCGCCACAACAGCAACAAUAUUCCCCACAACCGCAACAAUACUCCCCGCAACCACAACAGUAUCAAUACCAACCACAGUACCAAGCACCUCAGUCCCAGAACCAAUAUCCUCAGUAUAACCAAGGAGCGCAGUCGCAGCCUUCCUACUGCGAAGGGAAACGCCAGGAAUCCACAGGGCUGAGUAAACUGAUCCCUGUAGGCCCGGGUGUCAGCGCCUCCCCAGUCGCCCCGUCUUACCGCCAGGGCCCGUUGUCGCCUAGUGCCCAGCCCUACAAACAACAGCCAGGUCGUUGGGCGCCCGUACCGGCACCCAUAUCUCCGCAGCCGACGUCUCAAAAGCCCCAGUUCAACCAGCAGCCCCAAUACUCGCCCCAGGGCCAAUACUCCCCGCAACCGCAAUACUCGGAGCCUGCCUACCAGCCACCGCAGAGACAGUUCGAGCCCCCGCCGGCGACCAUCACCCUUCGUCCCCAGCAACCCAUCCAUCAGCAACCACCACCGGUGUUCCCUAGCCAGCCGGCCACAGCGUCGCUCAAGGGAGGCGUCAACAUGCGUGGUGAUCAGAAAUGGCCGCCGCAGUCCGUGAAGGAGGCAGUCGCUGCAGAGAACGAAGCGAGGAGGCAGCUCGCGAAAGGGCCCGCCUGCAGACCACGUAAGCUGCGUCAGUAUUCGCUUGCCGAAUUACUGGCAAUGAACGAGGUCUAAGGGACCGACGCAUUCCGACGAAACAAAGUCGAGACAUGCCGGACUUUAAUACCCCUUUAGUAAAGAAGGACUACACCAGUUUCUUCUCGCAGCACGCCCUGAACCACAGCUACACGAGCUACCGCGUCCCACCUGGUACACAACACUU
rnacentral:misc_RNA from 1 species